UACUGCGUGUGAUCGGUCGAAGCUCGUUCAUGCAUAUCCUGGCUCUAAUUUAAUUUGGUUGGCUAUAUGUAACUAUAUGUUCGUGAUGUAUGCCUCGAUCGUGAAAUUGUAUUGUGUUGAACCCUGUAGCUUUGCAUGGGCAUGCAUGCAUGUGGCGUCUGUAUUUGUUUCUUCCACUUUUGCGCGUCUGUAUUUGUUUCUUCCACUUUUGCGCGUCUGUACUUGAUUAA
rnacentral:lncRNA from 1 species